CCUACGGGCGGCAGCAGUGGGGAAUAUUGGGCAAUGGGCGCAAGCCUGACCCAGCAACGCCGCGUGAAGGAAGAAGGCUUUCGGGUUGUAAACUUCUUUUAUGAGGGACGAAAGAAAUGACGGUACCUCAUGAAUAAGCCACGGCUAACUACGUGCCAGCAGCCGCGGUAAGACGUAGGUGGCAAGCGUGAUCCGGAUUGACUGGGUGUAAAGGGCGGGUAGGCGGGACUGCCAGGCAGAUGGGAAAAUUAUGGGCUCAACCCAUAACCUGCAUUUGAAACUGUAGUUCUUGAGUGAUGGGGCGCCAGGCGGAAUUCCGUGUGUAGCGGUGAAAUGCGUAGAUAUACGGCGGAACACCAGUGGCGACGGCGGCCUGCUGGACAUUACCUGACGCUGAGGCGCGAAAGCGUGGGGAGCAAACAGGAUUAGAUACCCGAGUAGUC
rnacentral:rRNA from 1 species